rnacentral:rRNA from 1 species
AUUGAACGCUGGCGGCAGGCCUAACACAUGCAAGUCGAGCGAGCGGCGGACGGGUGAGUAAUGUAUGGGGACUGCCCGAUAGAGGGGGAUAACUACUGGACACGGUAGCUAAUACCGCAUACUGUCGGAUAACCCAUAUGGGAUUAGCUAGUUGGUGAGGUAAUGGCUCACCAAGACUACGAUCCCUCGCUGGUCUGAGAGGAUGACAGGCAAACCUGGGACGCAGAGACGGCCCAGACUCCUACGGAGGAGGAAGAGGGGAAUAUUGCACAAUGGGCGCAAGCCUGAUGCAGCCAUGCCGCGUGUAGGAAGAAGGCCCUAGGGUUGUAAAGUACGUACAGUCGGGAGGCGUUACCGACAGAAGAAGCACCUGCGAACUCCGUGCCAGCAGCCGCGGUAAUAC